GACGAACGCUGGCGGCGUGCCUAAUACAUGCAAGUAGAACGCAGUUGCGAAAGGGUGAGUAACGCGUAGGUAACUUCCUCAUAGCGGGGGAGAACUAUUGGAAACGAUAGCUAAUACCUCAUACUGUGAGAUGGACCUACGUUGUAUUAGCUAGUUGGUGAGGUAAAGGCUCACCAAGGCGACGAUACAUAGCCGACCUGAGAGGGUGAUCGUCAACACUGGGACUGAGACACGGCCCAGACUCCUACGGGAGGCAGCAGUGGGGAAGAUUGUACAAUGGGCGCAAGCCUGAUGCAGCCAUGCCGCGGGUAUGAAGAAGGCCUUCGGGUUGUAAAGUACUUUCAGCGAGGAGGCGUUACUCGCAGAAGAAGCACCGGCUAACUCCGUGCCAGCCGCCGCGGUAAUAC
rnacentral:rRNA from 1 species